UACGAAGGGGGCUAGCGUUGCUCGGAAUCACUGGGCGUAAAGCGCACGUAGGCGGAUCUUUAAGUCAGGGGUGAAAUCCUGGAGCUCAACUCCAGAACUGCCUUUGAUACUGGGGAUCUCGAGUCCGGAAGAGGUGAGUGGAACUCCGAGUGUAGAGGUGAAAUUCGUAGAUAUCGGGAGGAACACCAGUGGCGAAGGCGGUUGCCUGGGGCUUUGCUGACGCUGAUGCGCGAAAGCGUGGGGAGCGAUCCGG
rnacentral:rRNA from 1 species